rnacentral:rRNA from 1 species
CCAGCUCUCCGAGUAGUGUGGACGUUUAUUGGGCCUAAAGCAUCCGUAGCUUGCUGAGUCUGUCCUCCGUUAAAUCCAACGAUUUAAUCGUUGGGCUGCGGGGGAUACUGCUUAGCUAGGAGGCGGGAGAGGCCGACGGUAUUUCCGGGGUAGGGGUGAAAUCCUAUAAUCCCGGGACGACCACCAGUGGCGAAGG